rnacentral:rRNA from 1 species
GACGAACGCUGGUGGCGUGCUUAACAUAUGCAAGUCGAACGGGAUUUAGUAAACAGAAGCCUCGGUGGAAGAUUACUAAUGAGAGUGGCGAACGGGUGAGUAACGCGUGAGCAACCUGCCUAUGACAGUGGGAUAGCCUCGGGAAACCGGGAUUAAUACCGCAUAAAAUCGUAGAAACACAUGUUUUAACGGUCAAAGAUUUAUCGGUCAUAGAUGGGCUCGCGUCUGAUUAGCUAGUUGGUGAGAUAACAGCCCACCAAGGCGACGAUCAGUAGCCGGUCUGAGAGGAUGAACGGCCACAUUGGAACUGAGACACGGUCCAAACUCCUACGGGAGGCAGCAGUGGGGAAUAUUGCACAAUGGGGGAAACCCUGAUGCAGCGACGCCGCGUGAACGAAGAAGGUAUUCGUAUCGUAAAGUUCUGUCCUAUGGGAAGAUAAUGACAGUACCAGAGAAGAAAGCUCCGGCUAAAUACGUG